rnacentral:lncRNA from 7 species
ACAGAAGAAAGACCUUUGGAAUACAGCAUGUAGACAUUUGCUCCCACCUUUCCCUCCCAAGUUUUUCCAUUAUCAGCAGAGUAAUUGCUGACCCAACACAUUAACUCAAGAAGCACCAAAGAGCAAAAAUCUUACUGGAGAAGGAUAAUUGCAACGACUCUCCAAGGGCUCGCUGUUCUUCCACCCCAUCAGUAGAUGCAGUGCUGAGGAGAUAAGGGAUUUUUUUUCACUCCCUCCUCACCCCAUGCUUUCCCUGGGACUCUUCCAAGAACAACCCUCGUGCCAUUCUCUCCCACCAAAGGCACAAAGAACUUCUUUUACUGACCCACUGGCUGUUCAGGAUACAAAGAAGUUAAACUAAUAGUGCAGCAAGGCAACAGCCCAUUGCAGGCAGGUCCGGAUGAGCUACAGGAAUACAGUAGGAAGGGAUUUAAGAGGCCACCUUCAUCUCUCCCCCAAGGCAGUGUAACUGUUUUCUCCUACACCACUUUACAGUGUUCCUGCUAUUUAUGCUGCUUUGGAGUGCAGCAAGGUUUGGGUUUUCCCCAGGAAUGAUAUUUAAUGCCAAGACUUAUCACUCUGUGGAAUAAGCAUGCCUGGUCCUUGUGCUUAUUAAGAAAAUAUAACACCUUUGUGGUAGUUCAGUGUGAAGUAUAAACUGGGAAGAAAAUACUAUCUGAAAAUAACAUUUCAACUACACAUUUAACUGUUCCUAUUUGGAGAGAGGAGAAUAAUCUGCUCUGAGAGUGUUCCUGUUUAGAAAACCUUGGUUGCCUACUGAUGAGCAUAUGCAGGCUGAGUGAAUGCUAGGUGUAUUGCAUGGUGAAUGGCAUCAUUUUCAGGUACCUGCUGUAGGUUUAGAAAGGAAGCUUGAAAAUCCGGAACUGCUGCAUUCAAGUCUUCAUGAAAAUGUGAAUGCUCUUGGGUUUGCACUCUUCCAUGACUGGAAGCAGCAGCAUCUCAGCAUGACAACAUCCAUCAGAUAUCUUCACUUCUGCAGCUAGCUGUAAUACAGAUCAAUUUGGUAAUACUAAUUGUGCACAGAAGUACAAGGGAAAUUGUCC